rnacentral:lncRNA from 1 species
CUUGAGGUUCACUUAGUAUAUUUUUUCUCUCCGAACUUGUUAUCCUCAGACUUUCAAGUAAAAUGUCUGGAGCUCAGUUAAGUACAAUGCUGCGAUUAUUUUUCUUGACCUCCACAGACCAAAGAAAACACCUCCAAUUGUUUUUCAAGCUUUGAGGUACUCUUUUCAUUUUACAUUUGUUAUUCAUGGCUUGAUAGAAGUCUCAUAAUCAUUGGGCUUACGGCUCUUGUUCAGGCUAACUGAAAAUAUUCAACUUCAUACUUUCUUGAAUUAGAUACUAAUAAGGAAAAGGAGGAGGAGGGAAUUCCUACAAACUUCAUCUCUGUCCUGAGGGAAUCAGAGUUUUUGAGCAAAGACCAUUCAGAUCCUUGACUUAGGGAUGUAUUUGUUUUAAAAACAAGUAAAGUGAUUGUUAAACCUCAACAUUAUUACUUAUUUAUCCUAGGCUAAGUGCAGAAUUAUUAAAGUGCUGUCUACCUCUUUUUUUUUAUAAUGUUUUCUUUUUCCUAAAUCUUUUCUGAGGACAGAAUCUUUCCUGCUAUCC